CCGCCCGAACGCGCGUCGGCCAGCGUCGGCUCGAUCGCACUGGGCGGCGGCGAUCCGUGCGACGCCACCAGCCUGUUCCGCACCGGGCCGGGCAGC
rnacentral:tRNA from 1 species